UGGGGGAAGAUCUUCUUUUGCGGCAGCGACAGAGCACAGGCAACCCUGGGCAGAGCAGAGCAAGCAGUGCUGUAACACUUAAAGAGACAACCAACAACAUAGCGUGAUCCCAGCACAAAACACAUAUAGAAACAAUGGAAUAGAGGACACAGGAAUGAGGGCAUGACUGCAGACGUCUGAUCCAAGCAAAAGCUCCAAAGUAUAUGUUGGAGAAGACCGCCUCAUUAACAAAAGGAAGUUUGUCACUGGGAGUGACGUUUGAGGUUUCAGAUGCUCCAGCCAGGUUCAAUGUGACUCUCUCUUCCUGCUGCCUGCUUAUCCAGAUGGAGAAUUCUCAGCAACCUCUCCAGAACCAUGCCCACCUGCUUCCCACCUUGUUUCCCACAUGAGGAUAAUGGGCUAAACCUGUGACCUGUAAGACAGCCCCAAUUAAAUGUCUUCCGUUGUAA